AAUAUUAUUCAGUUUAUUUCUGGAGCCCAAGCAGGAAUCACCUCUGGACUUAAGCUCCAUAUUCUCAGUAAUUUUUCGGUUUACUAAAAAAAUUUAAUUUUUCCGGCUAGUUUUAAGAAUAAAGUGAAUUAUAUAAGCAUAUAACCAACACAGAACAACGACAAAGUUAGCGUUUAUUGACCUAGACAACGACACAGUCAGCGCUUGGUGGCCUGGACGUAUUUCACUCAACACAGUCUGGAUUGUCCAUAAUUCCUGGCUUACAAUAAUCUAAGACGGUUUUCUCUGAUGGCACAGUACUGGCAGUUACUUGAGAAGUUUAAUGAAUACAUAUCAAUCCUUGACUGGGAAUAUCUCACUGGAAUAAUAAAAUACCAAUGUUUAAAAAUAAUAUAUAUGUACACUUAUACUUUUAUUCAAAAUAAAAGUAAUAAAUACUAAAA